UACGAAGGGUGCGAGCGUUAUUCGGAAUCACUGGGCGUAAAGGGUGCGUAGACGGUAUGUUAAGUUUGUUGUUAAAGGCUCCGGCCUAACUGGAGUAUUACGAUGAAAACUGGCAAACUAGAGGGUGAGAGAGAGAAGUGGAAUUCCCGGAGUAGCGGUAAAAUGCGUGGAUCUCGGGAGGAACACCAAUGGCGAAGGCAGCUUCUUGGCUCAUACCUGACGUUGAGGCACGAAAGCGUGGGGAGCAAACAGG
rnacentral:rRNA from 1 species